UACGUAGGGUGCAAGCGUUAAUCGGAAUUACUGGGCGUAAAGCGUGCGCAGGCGGUUUUGUAAAGUCUGUCGUGAAAAGCCCCCGGGCUCAACCUGGGAAUUGCGAUGGAGACUGCAAGGCUUGAAUCUGGCAGAGGGGGGUAGAAUUCCACGUGUAGCAGUGAAAUGCGUAGAGAUGCGGAGGAACACCGAUGGCGAAGGCAAUCCCCUGGGCCUGCACUGACGCUCAUGCACGAAAGCGUGGGGAGCGAA
rnacentral:rRNA from 1 species